AAAGAACGCUGGCGGCAGGCUUAACACAUGCAAGUCGAGCGCCCCGCAAGGGGAGCGGCAGACGGGUGAGUAACGCGUGGGAAUCUACCCAUCUCUACGGAAUAACGCAUGGAAACGUGUGCUAAUACCGUAUAAGUCCUUCGGGAGAAAGAUUUAUCGGAGAUGGAUGAGCCCGCGUUGGAUUAGCUAGAUGGUGGGGUAAAGGCCUAGCAAGGCGAGGAUCCAUAGCUGGUCUGAGAGGGUCAUCAGCCACCCUGGGACUGAGAGACGGCCCAGACUCCUACUGGAGGCAGCAGGGGGGAAUAUUGGACUAUGGGCGCCAGCCUGCUCCAGCCAUUCCGCGUGAGUGAUGAAGGCCCUAGGGUUGUAAAGCUCUUUCACCGGUGAAGAUAAUGACGGUAACCGGAGAAGAAGCCCCGGCUAACUUCGUGCCAGCCGCCGCAGUAAUAC
rnacentral:rRNA from 1 species